rnacentral:rRNA from 1 species
GACGAACGCUGGCGGCGUGCUUAACACAUGCAAGUCGAGCGGUAAGGCCCUUCGGGGUACACGAGCGGCGAACGGGUGAGUAACACGUGGGUAACCUGCCCUCAGCUCUGGGAUAAGCCCGGGAAACUGGGUCUAAUACCGGAUAUCACCUUGGGAGGCAUCUUCCGGGGGUUGGAAAGUUUUUGGUCGGCUGAGGAUGGGCCCGCGGCCUAUCAGCUUGUUGGUGGGGUAGUGGCCUACCAAGGCGACGACGGGUAGCCGGCCUGAGAGGGCGACCGGCCACACUGGGACUGAGACACGGCCCAGACUCCUACGGGAGGCAGCAGUGGGGAAUAUUGCACAAUGGGCGAAAGGCCUGAUGCAGCGACGCCGCGUGAGGGAUGACGGCCUC